rnacentral:misc_RNA from 1 species
AGCAGCCGCGGUAAUUCCAGCUCCAAUAGCGUAUAUUAAAGUUGUUGCAGUUAAAAAGCUCGUAGUUGAAUUUCGGGGUUAGUAGUUUGGUCGUGCCAAUGGUAUGUACUGGGCUCACUGAUUCCUCCUUCCUGAUGAAUUGUAAUGCCAUUAAUUUGGUGUUGCAGGGAAACAGGACUGUUACUUUGAAAAAUUAGAGUGUUUAAAGCAAGCUAACGCUUGAAUACAUUAGCAUGGAAUAAUGAAAUAGGACGUUCGAUCCUAUUUUGUUGGUUUCUAGGAUUGACGUAAUGAUUAAUAGGGAUAGUUGGGGGCAUUAGUAUUCAAUUGUCAGAGGUGAAAUUCUUGGAUUUAUUGAAGACUAACUACUGCGAAAGCAUUUGCCAAGGAUGUUUUCAUUAAUCAAGAACGAAAGUUAGGGGAUCGAAGACGAUCAGAUACCGUCGUAGUCUUAACCAUAAACUAUGCCGACUAGGGAUCGGAUGAUGUUAAUUUUUAAUGUACUCAUUCGGCGCCUUAA